rnacentral:rRNA from 1 species
GUGGGGAAUAUUGGACAAUGGGCGAAAGCCUGAUCCAGCCAUGCCGCGUGUGUGAAGAAGGUCUUCGGAUUGUAAAGCACUUUAAGUUGGGAGGAAGGGCAGUAAGUUAAUACCUUGCUGUUUUGGCGUUACCGACAGAAUAAGCACCGGCUAACUUCGUGCCAGCAGCCGCGGUAAUACGAAGGGUGCAAGCGUUAAUCGGAAUUACUGGGCGUAAAGCGCGCGUAGGUGGUUUUGUAAGUUGGAGGUGAAAUCCCCGGGCUCAACCUGGGAACUGCCUCCAAAACUGCAUGACUAGAGUACGGUAGAGGGUAGUGGAAUUUCCUGUGUAGCGGUGAAAUGCGUAGAUAUAGGAAGGAACACCAGUGGCGAAGGCGACUACCUGGACUGAUACUGACACUGAGGUGCGAAAGCGUGGGGAGCAAACAGGAUUAGAUACCCGGGUAGUCC